rnacentral:rRNA from 1 species
AGUAAAUAGAUACCCCGGUAGUCCACGCCGUAAACGAUGUCGACUUGGAGGUUGUGCCCUUGACGGCGUGGCUUCCGGAGCUAAACGCGUUAAAGUCGACCGCCUGGGGAGUACGGCCGCAAGGUUAAACUCAAUGAAUUGACGGGGGCCCGCACAAGCGGUGGAGCAUGUGGUUUAAUUCGAUGCAACGCGAAGAACCUUACCUACUCUUGACAUCCAGAGAACUUAGCAGAGAUGCUUUGGUGCCUUCGGGAACUCUGAGACAGGUGCUGCAUGGCUGUCGUCAGCUCGUGUUGUGAAAUGUUGGGUUAAGUCCCGCAACGAGCGCAACCCUUAUCCUUUGUUGCCAGCGGUUAGGCCGGGAACUCAAAGGAGACUGCCAUGAUAAACUGGAGGAAGGUGGGGAUGACGUCAAGUCAUCAUGGCCCUUACGAGUAGGCUACACACGUGCUACAAUGGCGCAUACAAAGAGAAGCGGCCUCGCGAGAGCAAGCGGACCUCAUAAAGUGCGUCGUAGUCCGGAUUGGAGUCU